GUACUUACCUGGCAGGGGAGAUACCAUGGUCGUGAAGAUGGUUUUCCCAGGCUGAGGCUCAUCCAUGGCACUGUGGGUGUGCUGACCCCUGCGAUUUCCCCAAAUACGGGAAACUCGCCUGCAGAAUUUGUGGUAGUGGGGGCUGCGUGAGCGCUCCCCCUG
rnacentral:snRNA from 1 species